UUAGGAUUUGGAUAUGUUAGUGCCAGUUACUGAAAGCAUGCCCUUCUGGUAGGCUCUCACUAGGGUAUUUGCUGCAGGACUGCCAGUUCCAGCAGGGAUUUUGAAGAGGAAAUCAUUAUCCAAGCACAUCUUCCUCAAAUCUGCCUCCUACUGUUGCAUGUGAGAGCACCUGAAGGUAGCUGCCAGAGCAGCUGUGGUUCCAAGUGCAGUGCUCCCCACUGGGCUCUUCCUCCCAGAGCAAGGCUGAGCCCCUGCUAGGAAUUAAGACCGGAGCUUACAACACACACAGCCUUCUUCUGCCACUGAAUCCAUGGCACAUCGGCUGCAGGAGAAGCGUACUUGGUUCUGUGCCUUGGCCUGAUUCCAGGAGUAGGCCUAGAGGAGAGUCUGGAGUCUCCUCUGGCAAAGAGGAUGUGACUUAAGGAGCAUCACAUGAAACCAGCAGAUCUGAAUCAAACAGGGCAUCCUUCCUCGUGCAGCAUGCUGCAGAGCUGUGGCUCACCUUGCCACGAAACAUAAAUGGUGAAUCCUUGUGUGGCUCAAAAAGCAAUCGGAUGAAUCCAAGGAAGAAAUGUCCAUUGGGGACUAUUAAAUACAAAAGUUUUCAUCACCAGACCACAGCCUGGGGACACAGCUAAUAUGUUCCAGCAAAAGGGGCUUUGGGGACUGCUCCAAUCAUUUUGGCUAACUUCAUCAGGUAUCUGUCAGACCACUGAGAAAGGCUUCCAGUGCUAACCUACACACCGUAUCAGCAACCCACUGCUUCUGCUCCCUUUGCUGUCUGCAUAAAGGUCACAGAUAAUGAUGAAAAAUAAAUAAAUAAGCCAAGAAAACC